UUUGUUUUAUUUUUAGUUUAGAAUCUUCACUAUUUUACUGUUUUUGUGUAGGGACUGUCAUGAAUGGAGGAAUACUUUUAUAUUAAACAAGAUAUGUGGUGGGGGAGUGGAAAUCCGGGUCAAGAUCAAUACAAUAAUGAUCCAUACAAUCGGUCAUAUAAUGAUUAUCCAUACAAUAAUACAUAUGAUGAUGAUUGUUAGUGGACUGACGAAUCGACUCAAAACCAACAGCAUGAACCAUAUUAUUUCCCAGACGACCAAGAAUCAGAAAAAUCUUCAUUUAGCAAGAAGUUGGAUCAAAUGUUGGACAUGUUGAAUGAAAUCUUUAACAAGGAGGAAGACAACUCCAAAUCAAUUUCGACAAUUGAAGAUCAACUAGAACGAAUAACGGAGCAGCUAAAGCAACAACCACCGGGCAAACCUUCGAACACUACCCAAGUAAAUGAGGUCAACAUCAUUGGAUAGUAGUGGGAGUCGGUUCCCGGAAAGAAAGUUAUGGAACUAAAAGCAUUAUACAACAUGUUCCUGCAAAUUAAAAAUUAAAGUGUUCCAUGAUAUCAAGCCUCUACUAAAGAACUUUACCCGAAAGACAAAUUAUAUAUGGUUCUUUAAAACAAGGUUUAAACAUUCUCGUAGAAGGAUAAAAGAUAAAAGAUUAGGAUUCCACAUGGUGAAGGAAGGAUUGCCAUACGAUCCAGGUAAAACAAAAGAAUAUGGGUUCAUCAAUGAAACUAAGGGGACUGAUCUAUUAACAUGUUUACCUCCAAUUAGUAAAAAUAAGAUAAAUGACCUCAUGGUUAACUUUCAAAAAAGUCCACGAAUAUAAGAGCCUCCGUAGUCAUCGGUCGAGGUAACCCGUCCCGCUAAUGACGUUAAACUUGGUAAUUUUGGAACUUUGUGGGUAGGUUCACUGCAAACCCUCACGAGACUUCACUCGUCCACUAGGGGUAAACUAGGGGUUUAAAAGGCUUGUUGCACGUGCCAAGUGCAAUCGUGGUCCCCGGCGAAAUUGAGGGCUAGUUAGUGUAGUUUAUUUUUAUUUGAUUUGAUUUGUGUGCUUGUAGUUGGUUUCUUUUAUUAAUUUAGGAAUUUAUCUUUUGAUGCAUCGAAGUCGAUGCAAGACUUAAAGUUGCGGAGGGGUGUACACAAGAAAAGAUGGAAGAUUGAAGAAAAAGUGAUUUUUUUAAAAAAAAUAAUGAUUUGAUGUUUAUUUGAGCAUAACGAAACAUUAUGAAAAUACCUCCAACUAGUAAAUUUUUUUUGGAAAUCAAAACCGCAUCUACUAUCAGUACCAUCAGGUGUGUCGUCCUCCAUAUUUUUAACGAGGUUUUUAAGCCGCACAUUGCUGCAGGACUUAAAGCAAUAAAGUUUGUGAUACAAUAAGUUAUUUUGAUUUAUUAAUUCCAUUUUUUUUCUUAUUAUGACAUUAGAGUUUGAAAAUCUUACAUAUUUAUGCAAUGCAUUUCUGUUUUCCUAUUUAGGCAUUGGACUUAGAAACUCCCGAUGAAUAUAGCAUCAGACUUUUUAAAUUCAAACCUAUUAAUAUAUUAUUGUUUUAUUAUAACCAAAAGACAUUAUGACAGCAGUUUGGUUUGAUUGAGCACUUACUGUGAUUGGAUGUAACUAUUUUAUUUGGGGAAAGAAUAAUAUAAUAUUUAGGUCAUUGCAAUCUACAGCAGUUUAUGACAUCAAUGUUUUACAUUGAUAAGCUGGUUAUGGAGUUAUUAGUAUGUUACAAAGAAAAUGUUUUCCAAACAAUAAAGACAUCAGAAUGUUUUUGUAGAAGUCACCUCCACUAUAUACGGAUCCUGCAACAAAUAUUAACAUGGGCAUGCGUCAGAAUAUUCUCACUUUCAUUUUCCGCAAUAUAAACAA